UGGCUUGAAGCCUCUGCACUGCGGAUGACAGUCUUGGGAUCGCUUAUAUGGGGUACCCCAAUAUAUGUCUCGUGGUGGAAUUUAACAGAUGUAUGGGCACGUUAUUGAAGCCUAAAAUGUAAGCAGAAAGUGAAACAGUAACAGGCAUAACAUCAUGCAAACAGUGUGCUGGAGUUUGUAUAGGGCUCUCUGAGGAGACCAACAACGGGAGUUUAGGUGCUGUUAACCGCCUACAGGGGCUCAAAUGAAGUUGUGUUGGCCGGGUCCCAAAUGUGCUUUGUAGCCGUUGCCGCUGACCCCCCUGCGGUGGUGGUUAGAGAAUCUGAUGGGAGACCCAGAGUCUCCAAAAUGGCUGCUGCCCCAUUGAGAUCCUGGACUGAGUAGCAAAUGCUUUCUUGUAGGACCACCAGGGUGUGGGAUCUUUUCCAUCUAUAAGAUAUGUCCCGUGCCUGGAGGAGUGAUGUAAAGGGCUGCCGUGUUUUGCGCCAAGCUAAAGUGGCUCCUGCUAAGCACGCAUAGAGUGUAAGGGAUGAAUUCUCGAAGUUGUAGAGGGACUUCCCCCUGAGAGCACCCAUUACUGCUGCCUUGUCCUGCCCAUUUUGGAGACGUACGAUUAGGUCUCGUGGUGUCGUAGGCUGGUUCCUUCUUAGGUCUCGGAAUCCGGAACAUUCCCUCCCAACCUCCACCAGUUUGGGGGCGUAGUCUUGCACUCCGUAGAUGUCUCAGGAAGUGUGGUAAUUCCGCUUCGGGGACCUUCGCCACUACCCCUCUGAUGUUGAGGUUAUUGCUGCGUCUGGAGUCCUCCAGUAUUGCAUGAAGUGUUUAGAAAUGAAAGCAUGUCUUACUGGGUUUUUCCACUCUCUCUGUAGUAGUUC